rnacentral:lncRNA from 1 species
AAGAAAGAGGAGCACCUGAAGUCUACAACAAAUGAGGGCAACAUGGUCUUUUCAUGGGCUAUUUUUGGGGAAACCUAGCUGCUACAUCUAGGAGGCAGCCGCAAUUGAGGGAAACAACACAGAAAACAAGAGGAAAUCGGGGAGAGCACGAGAGAGAGAGAAGGAGCACCUGAAAUUAAAGACAAUGACCAUAUUUUUGGAGGAAGAGAAGAAAGAAGCAGAGCACAUCAUUAAUCCUUAC